GAUGAACGCUGGCGGCGUGCCUAAUACAUGCAAGUCGAGCGAACAGAUGAGGAGCUUGCUCCUCUGACGUUAGCGGCGGACGGGUGAGUAACACGUGGAUAACCUACCUAUAAGACUGGGAUAACUUCGGGAAACCGGAGCUAAUACCGGAUAAUAUAUUGAACCGCAUGGUUCAAUAGUGAAAGACGGUUUUGCUGUCACUUAUAGAUGGAUCCGCGCCGCAUUAGCUAGUUGGUAAGGUAACGGCUUACCGAGGCAACGAUGCGUAGCCGACCUGAGAGGGUGAUCGGCCACACUGGAACUGAGACACGGUCCAGACUCCUACGGGAGGCAGCAGUAGGGAAUCUUCCGCAAUGGGCGAAAGCCUGACGGAGCAACGCCGCGUGAGUGAUGAAGGUCUUCGGAGCGUAAAACUCUGUUAUUAGGGAAGAACAAAUGUGUAAGUAACUAUGCACGUCUUGACGGUACCUAAUCAGAAAGCCACGGCUAACUACGUG
rnacentral:rRNA from 1 species